CAAAUUAGGAACAUUGGUAGAAUUCGGCAAUAUAUCACUGAGGAUGCCUGUAAAACUUUAGUCUGCUCGCUCGUCACGUCACGCCUAGACUACGGAAACGCUCUGCUUUAUGGAGUAAAUACCAGCUUAGUCAAUAAGUUACAGCGAGUACAGAAUACGGCAGCCAGGCUUGUUACACGUACCAAGAAACAUGAUCAUAUAACACCAGUUCUUGUGUCUCUUCAUUGGAUUCCGGUGCAGUACCGAAUACAAUAUAAACUUCUUUUGUAUACUUUCAAAAUCCUGCAUGGCCUAGCGCCCGUCUAUCUUGAGGAACUCAUUAGUACCUAUCAACCAUCAAGAUCUCUUAGAUCGGAAAAUGCCAUGCAGCUUAUACAACCUCGUGUACGCACCAAAAUCUAUGGAGAAAGACGUUUCGACAAAGCUACUGCGAGUCUCUGGAACAAUCUUCCUAGCCAUCUAAGACAUGAACACUC
rnacentral:lncRNA from 1 species